UACGGGGGGCGCAAGCGUUGUUCGGAAUUACUGGGCGUAAAGGGUCUGUAGGUGGCUUGCUAAGUCAGACGUGAAAUCCCUCAGCUUAACUGGGGAACUGCGUCUGAGACUGGCGAGCUUGAGGGCAGGAGAGGAACGCGGAAUUCCAGGUGUAGCGGUGAAAUGCGUAGAUAUCUGGAGGAACACCGGUGGCGAAGGCGGCGUUCUGGACUGCAUCUGACACUGAAAGACGAAAGCCAGGGGAGCAAACGGG
rnacentral:rRNA from 1 species